rnacentral:rRNA from 1 species
UUAAAUUGAAGAGUUUGAUCAUGGCUCAGAUUGAACGCUGGCGGCAGGCCUAACACAUGCAAGUCGAACGGUAACAGGAAGCAGCUUGCUGCUUYGCUGACGAGUGGCGGACGGGUGAGUAAUGUCUGGGAAACUGCCUGAUGGAGGGGGAUAACUACUGGAAACGGUGGCUAAUACCGCAUAACGUCGCAAGACCAAAGAGGGGGACCUUCGGGCCUCUUGCCAUCAGAUGUGCCCAGAUGGGAUUAGCUUGUUGGUGAGGUAACGGCUCACCAAGGCGACGAUCCCUAGCUGGUCUGAGAGGAUGACCAGCCACACUGGAACUGAGACACGGUCCAGACUCCUACGGGAGGCAGCAGUGGGGAAUAUUGCACAAUGGGCGCAAGCCUGAUGCAGCCAUGCCGCGUGUAUGAAGAAGGCCUUCGGGUUGUAAAGUACUUUCAGCGGGGAGGAAGGUGUUGUGGUUAAUAACCGCAGCAAUUGACGUUACCCGCAGAAGAAGCACCGGCUAACUCCGUGCCAGCAGCCGCGGUAAUACGGAGGGUGCAAGCGUUAAUCGGAAUUACUGGGCGUAAAGCGCACGCAGGCGGUCUGUCAAGUCGGAUGUGAAAUCCCCGGGCUCAACCUGGGAACUGCAUUCGAAACUGGCAGGCUUGAGUCUUGUAGAGGGGGGUAGAAUUCCAGGUGUAGCGGUGAAAUGCGUAGAGAUCUGGAGGAAUACCGGUGGCGAAGGCGGCCCCCUGGACAAAGACUGACGCUCAGGUGCGAAAGCGUGGGGAGCAAACAGGAUUAGAUACCCUGGUAGUCCACGCCGUAAACGAUGUCUACUUGGAGGUUGUGCCCUUGAGGCGUGGCUUCCGGAGCUAACGCGUUAAGUAGACCGCCUGGGGAGUACGGCCGCAAGGUUAAAACUCAAAUGAAUUGACGGGGGCCCGCACAAGCGGUGGAGCAUGUGGUUUAAUUCGAUGCAACGCGAAGAACCUUACCUGGUCUUGACAUCCACAGAAGAAUCCAGAGAUGGAUUUGUGCCUUCGGGAACUGUGAGACAGGUGCUGCAUGGCUGUCGUCAGCUCGUGUUGUGAAAUGUUGGGUUAAGUCCCGCAACGAGCGCAACCCUUAUCCUUUGUUGCCAGCGGUUAGGCCGGGAACUCAAAGGAGACUGCCAGUGAUAAACUGGAGGAAGGUGGGGAUGACGUCAAGUCAUCAUGGCCCUUACGACCAGGGCUACACACGUGCUACAAUGGCGCAUACAAAGAGAAGCGACCUCGCGAGAGCAAGCGGACCUCAUAAAGUGCGUCGUAGUCCGGAUUGGAGUCUGCAACUCGACUCCAUGAAGUCGGAAUCGCUAGUAAUCGUGGAUCAGAAUGCCACGGUGAAUACGUUCCCGGGCCUUGUACACACCGCCCGUCACACCAUGAAAGAAGUAGGUAGCUUAACCUUCGGGAGGGCGCUUACCACUUUGUGAUUCAUGACUGGGGUGAAGUCGUAACAAGGUAACCGUAGGGGAACCUGCGGUUGGAUCACCUCCUUACCUUAAAGAA